rnacentral:rRNA from 1 species
UACAGGAGGUGCCAAGCGUUAGGCGGAAUCACUGGGCUUAAAGCGCGUGUAGGUGGAUGGGUAAGUAUCUUGUGAAAUCCCAACGGCUCAACCGUGGAACUGCUGGAUAUACUGCUUGUCUUGAGGCACUUAGAGGGCAGCUGGAACAAAUGGUGGAGCGGUGAAAAUGCGUAGAUAUCAUUUGGAACGCCAAAGGCGAAAGCA